AACAGAGGGGGCGAGCAUUAUCGGUGUUGACUGGGCGUAAAGGGUGCGUAGGCGGGUCUUUAAGUCAGGGGUGAAAUCCUGGAGCUCAACUCCAGAACUGCCUUUGAUACUGAAGAUCUUGAGUUCGGGAGAGGUGAGUGGAACUGCGAGUGUAGAGGUGAAAUUCGUAGAUAUUCGCAAGAACACCAGUGGCGAAGGCGGCUCACUGGCCCGAUACUGACGCUGAGGCACGAAAGCGUGGGGAGCAAACAGG
rnacentral:rRNA from 1 species